rnacentral:rRNA from 1 species
GGGCACCACCAGGAGUGGAGCCUGCGGCUUAAUUUGACUCAACACGGGGAAACUCACCCGGCCCGGACACCGUAAGGAUUGACAGAUUGAUAGCUUUUUCAUGAUUCGGUGGGAUGGUGGUGCAUGGCCGUUCUUAGUUCGUGGGAGCGAUUUGUCUUGGUUUAUUCCGAAUAACGAGCGAGACUCUGGGCCUACUAAAUAGGUUGGGCGCAUUGCUACUGUGCCGCACCAACACUUUCUUUAGGAGGGGAUUUUUCGGGUGGUUUCCAGCCCGCAACGAAAAUUGGUGCAAUAAACAGGGUCUUGUGAUUGCCCUUAGAUUGUCCGGGGGCUGCACGGGGGGCUUAAACUGGGCAAAAUCAGCGUGCUUGUCCUUCCCCGAAAGGGGUUGGUAAAACCCGUGAAAAUUUGCCCGGAUUGGGAUCGGACAUGCAAUAUGUCCGUGACAGGAUUCUGAAGGGCAACAUCACCCGCUGAAACCGCUUGCCUUGGAAACGGGCGUCGUGCUGGACUGGAUCC